rnacentral:rRNA from 1 species
GACGAACGCUGGCGGCGUGCUUAACACAUGCAAGUCGAACGGAGUGGCGAACGGGUGAGUAACACGUGGGUGACCUGCCCUGCACUUCGGGAUAAGCCUGGGAAACUGGGUCUAAUACCGGAUAGUGUGGGAUGGGCCCGCGGCCUAUCAGCUUGUUGGUGGGGUAAUGGCCUACCAAGGCGGCGACGGGUAGCCGGCCUGAGAGGGUGGACGGCCGCAUUGGGGCUGAGUCGCGGACCAGACUCGUACGGGAGGCAGAAGUGAGGAAGAUUGGACAAUGGGCGGAAUACUGAUGAAGGGACGCCGCGUGUGGGAGGACGGGAUUCGGGUUGUAGACGCCUUCCACCAUCGACGCGGUAGAUGGAGAAGAAGCACCGGAUAACUACGUGCCAGCGGCCGCGGUAAUAC